GGAGCUCAUAAGCAACUCUUCACAUUUUCUUCACAUUUUGAUAUAGACAACACUCUGUUAAGCCUGUUUAAAGUAUUUUAUGAUGAUAUAUCUUCUGGUGAAUCUUCUUUAUCCAAUGUGCCCAUUUCUCCACAGAAAGGAGGUAUUCAAGGAAGUCAUGGACAAUCAAAGGCCAUAAAGAGAAGACCCAGCACAGAAAAUAAAUAAAUAAAAUAAAAAAU
rnacentral:lncRNA from 1 species